UACGAAGGGGGCUAGCGUUGCUCGGAAUUACUGGGCGUAAAGCGCACGUAGGCGGCUUUUUAAGUCAGGGGUGAAAUCCUGGAGCUCAACUCCAGAACUGCCUUUGAUACUGAGAAGCUUGAGUCCGGGAGAGGUGAGUGGAACUGCGAGUGUAGAGGUGAAAUUCGUAGAUAUUCGCAAGAACACCAGUGGCGAAGGCGGACUCACUGGCUCGGUACUGACGCUGAGAUACGAAAGCGUGGGGAGCAAACAGGG
rnacentral:rRNA from 1 species